rnacentral:rRNA from 1 species
AUUGAACGCUGGCGGCAGGCCUAACACAUGCAAGUCGAGCGGAUGACGGGAGCUUGCUCCUUGAUUCAGCGGCGGACGGGUGAGUAAUGCCUAGGAAUCUGCCUGGUAGUGGGGGACAACGUUUCGAAAGGAACGCUAAUACCGCAUACGUCCUACGGGAGAAAGCAGGGGACCUUCGGGCCUUGCGCUAUCAGAUGAGCCUAGGUCGGAUUAGCUAGUUGGUGAGGUAAUGGCUCACCAAGGCAACGAUCCGUAACUGGUCUGAGAGGAUGAUCAGUCACACUGGAACUGAGACACGGUCCAGACUCCUACGGGAGGCAGCAGUGGGGAAUAUUGGACAAUGGGCGAAAGCCUGAUCCAGCCAUGCCGCGUGUGUGAAGAAGGUCUUCGGAUUGUAAAGCACUUUAAGUUGGGAGGAAGGGCAGUAAGUUAAUACCUUGCUGUUUUGACGUUACCGACAGAAUAAGCACCGGCUAACUCUGUGCCAGCCGCCGCCGUAA